rnacentral:misc_RNA from 1 species
UACAAAUAGCUUAUGAACCUAUACAACUUCUAAUGCCCUUUAGCAUACCAAAUCACACUUUUGGCACACAUUAGGAGUUCAUUUGCCAUUUAAAAUUGAGAAUUAACUAUUAAUUCAUUUAAACCUAGCUUAUGAAAGAAUUAAUUCAACUAACCUUCAAGGCGCUAAAUCAAUCUUUCUUACUCCCUUUGAGUGCUCCUAGGGCUCCAAAUAUUGCCCCUCUAGCUUGUUAACCACAAGCACACCAAGGUCCACUAAUGGCAACCCCAAAAGCUCUCUUUUCUUGCUUGCCAACCAAUUGGAAUGAGAUGGGUUUGUUUUGGUGAGGGUUAAUGGAUGUGGGUGCACUAGAAACUCUUUCUACCAAAUUAAUUCAAGAAGAAAUCAAGAUUCUCUUCAAGAAUUAAUGGAAGAAGAAAAUGAGAAAAAUGGGAGUCCAUG